UUACGGUCAAAUCACGCUGAAACACCGGUUCUCGUUCGAUCACCGAAGUUAAGCAUCGUAGAGCCAGUCAGUACUUAGAUGGGGGACCGCUUGGGAACACCUGGUACUGUAAG
rnacentral:rRNA from 1 species